rnacentral:rRNA from 1 species
GAUGAACGCUAGCGGCAGGCCUAAUACAUGCAAGUCGAACGAUACCAGAGAGCUUGCUUUCUGGGAAAGUGGCGCACGGGUGCGUAACGCGUAUGCAACCUACCUUAAUCAGGGGGAUAGCCUCUCGAAAGAGAGAUUAACACCGCAUAAAAUCACACUUCGGCAUCGAAGAAUGAUCAAAUAUUUAUAGGAUUAAGAUGGGCAUGCGUGACAUUAGCUAGUUGGUAAGGUAACGGCUUACCAAGGCUACGAUGUCUAGGGGAUCUGAGAGGAUGACCCCCACACUGGUACUGAGACACGGACCAGACUCCUACGGGAGGCAGCAGUAAGGAAUAUUGGUCAAUGGGGGCAACCCUGAACCAGCCAUGCCGCGUGCAGGAAGACGGCCCUACGGGUUGUAAACUGCUUUUAUACGGGAAUAAAUCUCGCUACGUGUAGUGAGUUGAAUGUACUGUAAGAAUAAGGAUCGGCUAACUCCGUGCCAGCAGCCG